GUAUAAUGAACAGACUGUUUCAUUAGUGGGACAAUUCACUCGACAAAUCCAGCCCAAACAACUUAUUUCACAAUUUGAAAGAAACAUUUGCUCUAUCUCACUGUGCUGAAUGCAACUGCCAAUUAAGAUGGUUUGCAGCCGACCUGUGGCCCCUGGUGAUUUGGCCCCAGGCUAACCAAGAAGCCUCCAGUCAGCCAGGCUGUCUCAGUGGUCCCCUGAGUUGCAGGACGGCAGGAAUUCUAUGAAUAAUAAUGGGGACACGCAGUCCCGUGUGUGCAGCCUCACAGAGAACUCAGCCUAAUCACCCGGAAAUUCUGCUUCGUCACAGUCCUUUCUCCUGCUGUAAAACUGCUUUGGCUCCCUCUUUCCUUCCACAUCAGCUCAGCCUUUCUGCCCACCCUCCGGCCCAUCUCGGCGUUUCCCAGGACUUCUCAAGAGGCUCCGUCAGCUCCGUGCAAAGGCCUCUUUCUGGUACCAGACGUUGAAGUCCGCACCUCCUCGUAGAACGUUCAAGCAACACAGGACAGAAUAAUGAACAAAGUGAAAGUCAUCCUGCAUUCUCCACCUGGAGACACCCACUGAUGAUAGACAGGAGCCUGCUCUUCCAGAUGUUUCUCUGUGCGUUUAUGCAUCCUGUUGAACCCAAAUAGCACCAGGCCAUCUGCGCCAUUUUGUAAACUCCUUGUUUUACUCAAUAAUACGUCAUGAAGUUUUCUCCCCUAUAUCACUGACUUUAUAUCUGCCUGUUCUUUUUUAAUGGCAGCAUGAUAGUCCAUUAUAAAGACAUUCUUUAAUUAUCCAAUUAAUCUCCUUUUAUGGGCCAUUGGGAGGGGGGCAUUUUUUCCUUGUU